rnacentral:rRNA from 1 species
CGUCCGUAGCUGGCCGGACAAGUCCGUUGGGAAAUCUGUUCGCUUAACGAGCAGGCGUCCAGCGGAAACUGUUCGGCUUGGGACCGGAAGACCUGAGGGGUACGUCCGGGGUAGGAGUGAAAUCCUGUAAUCCUGGACGGACCACCGGUGGCGAAAGCGCCUCAGGAGGACGGAUCCGACAGUGAGGGACGAAAGCUAGGGUCUCGAACCGGAUUAGAUACCCGGGUAGUCCUAGCUGUAAACGAUGCCCGCUAGGUGUGGCGCAGGCUACGAGCCUGCGCUGUGCCGUAGGGAAGCCGAGAAGCGGGCCGCCUGGGAAGUACGUCUGCAAGGAUGAAACUUAAAGGAAUUGGCGGGGGAGCACUACAACCGGAGGAGCCUGCGGUUUAAUUGGACUCAACGCCGGACAUCUCACCAGCUCCGACAGUAGUAAUGACGGUCAGGUUGAUGACCUUACCCGAUGCUACUGAGAGGAGGUGCAUGGCCGCCGUCAGCUCGUACCGUGAGGCGUCCUGUUAAGUCAGGCAACGAGCGAGACCCGCACUCCUAAUUGCCAGCAGUACCCUUUGGGUAGCUGGGUACAUUAGGUGGACUGCCGCUGCUAAAGCGGAGGAAGGAACGGGCAACGGUAGGUCAGUAUGCCCCGAAUGAGCUGGGCAACACGCGGGCUACAAUGGUCGAGACAAUGGGAUGCAACUCCGAGAGGAGGCGCUAAUCUCCUAAACUCGAUCGUAGUUCGGAUUGAGGGCUGAAACUCGCCCUCAUGAAGCUGGAUUCGG